CCUACGGGGUGCAGCAGUGGGGAAUAUUGCGCAAUGGGCGAAAGCCUGACGCAGCGACGCCGCGUGAGGGAUGAAGGUCUUCGGAUCGUAAACCUCUGUCAGCAGGGAAGAACGGUCACUGUGCUAAUCAGCAGUGAAUUGACGGUACCUGCAAAGGAAGCACCGGCUAACUCCGUGCCAGCAGCCGCGGUAAUACGGAGGGUGCGAGCGUUAAUCGGAGUUACUGGGCGUAACGCGCUCGUAGGCGGUAUGUCAAGUCAAGGGUGAAAUCCCCGCGCUCAACGUGGGAACUGCCUUUGAAUCUGGCAAACUGGAGUGUGUGAGAGGAUAGUGGAAUUCCAGGUGUAGGAGUGAAAGCCGUAGAUAUCUGGAGGAACAUCAGUGGCGAAGGCGACUAUCUGGCACAUAACUGACGCUGAGGAGCGAAAGCGUGGGUAGCAAACAGGAUUAGAUACCCUAGUAGUC
rnacentral:rRNA from 1 species